CUCGUUGUUGCUUUCCUUCCUUCCUUCCCUCGUUCCUUCCUUCGUCCUGUCAUUUUCUCCAUCCUCCCUUCCUCCUGUCACCUUCCCCCCUUUAUUCCUCCCUUCCUCUGUCACCUUCCUUUGGCCUUCGUCCUGCCAUCCUUGAUCCAACAAAAACGGUCUCCGGCGCCUUCACUGUAUUUUCGAUUGAUUUGAAUUAAUCCCGUCUGGAAUUUUAAGAGGCUCAUCUUGCUAUCCACCCUCCUCGCCUCGCGGGGCUGGGGAGCGUCAGGGGGCCCAGGGCCUUCCUGGCGAGCGUCGCAGGGCUCAGGGCUCCGGCAGGGCGCCUCGGCUCCCCCGGAGCGUCCACGGAGGUGUCGGAGAUCCCGAGGGUCCGGGGGUUGGGGGGGCGUGAAGUGGCAGCAAGACAUGCAGUUACUGACCUCUUAUUAGCCAGACGACGCGUUAAUGACACGUUCCAAUGGAUGGUUCGACGCAUGGGGAGGUACAAUUCCCCUAAGCAAGGCAAGUGUCAUACCAACUACGAUAAAAAACGAAAAAUCCAAAAAAAAUACAAAAAGAAAAAAUCCCAAAAAAAACUGUCUUGUUUUGCUUUGUUUAAAGCGUCUUGUAUGUUGGUAUGGCGGGUCUUCUCUGGGGAGAAGGAGACUAACGCGUUCCAACAUACAAAACCAGGAAAAGACGAUAUGGAAACACCGUAUGAAGGAAGGGAAAGAAGGGAACACCAGAAGAAGGAAAAUGAAGAGAAGUAACACUAGAAGAAGGCAUAUAAAGUAACACAAGAAGAAGGAAGUUGAAAAGAGUAACACAAGAAGAAGGAAUUUGAAAAGAGUAACACAAGAAGAAGGAAUUAAAAAAGAGUAACACAAGAAGAGGGAAUUUGAAAAGAGUAACACAGAAGAAGGUAUUGAAAAGAGUUACACAGAAGAAGGUAUUGAAAAGAGUUACACAGAAGAAGGUAUUGAAAAGAGUUACACAGAAGAAGGUAUUGAAAAGAGUUACACAGAAGAAGGUAUUGAAAAGAGUUACACAGAAGAAGGAAUUUGAAAAGAGUAACACAAGAAGAAGGAAUUUGAAGAGAAAUAACACAAGAAGAAGAAAUGUGAAGUAACACCGGAAGGAAAAUGCAGAGAAGUAACACUAGAAAAAUGAAAAUGGAAAUGAAAAGAAUCAUCCACCUUUCGGCCCAAACCAACAUCACAAAAUUAUGGGCGAGUCUCUUCUGGGAGGAAAGCGGCUCGUUCAGACCCAGGAACACCA